UACGGGGGGGGCAAGCGUUGUUCGGAAUUACUGGGCGUAAAGCGCGUGUAGGCGGCUACGUGUGUCGGGCGUGAAAGCCCACGGCUCAACCGUGGAAGUGCACCCGAAACUGCGUAGCUAGAGUCCUGGAGAGGAAGGUGGAAUGCUUGGUGUAGCGGUGAAAUGCGUAGAUAUCGGAAGGAACAUCAGUGGCGAAAGCGGCUUCCUGGUCCAGCACCGACGUUCAGGCACGAAAGCGUGGGGAGCAAACAGG
rnacentral:rRNA from 1 species